GCCCAAGGAUUGAGGACCCUUCAUUUAGAUAACAUUAAAUAUUUCAUUUAUGGGGAGAAAAUAAAGACGGGCUGUGGGAAAAAUAGGGAAGAAGAUGAGGCUGACCAGCAGCUACCCAGAAAGGCAAGAGAGGUCUGGAGUCCUGCACUACGUAAGCAUAGGCAGACGUGGUGGAUGGAGAAUGUGGAUGAACAUGCCAGAAGGUCAAAAGGCAGCAGCAGCUGCGUGAAGACUGUAAGGUGAACUAGGUUCUGAAACACAGCUCUGGGCCAUCAAAUGCUUUUUAUUUACUAUUAAAGUAGAAACCAAGCCCAUGUUGUUAAAAUACAGUUUCCUGUGUAUGUUUACUUGGAAAGAUGACACAACUAUGGGAAUUCACCACAUUUAUUAAGUUUUUAUUGUGUCCAAGGUAUAAUAUUAUACAAAAUUGUUAUGAUAAAAGUAUUCACCCACAAGAAGCUUAUAAUCUAGCAGGAAAAAUAAUCAUGCACUUCAAUUAUUAUACAAAGCUGUAGCAGGCUCAUAUCUCAGCAGGGAAGGGAAGUGAACCAACUGAGGGCCUGGUUGGUACAAGGCAGUGGGCCAAAUGUUUGGCAUGGAAUUUCCACAGCAAGUGAAGUGGAGAUUAUUGUCCUAUUUAGAAAUGAAAAACUUGCUUUAAAAGGCUAUAAAACUUCCCAGAACUCACGGUUACUAAGUAUCAGAGCCAAAUGAGCUGAAAUCUACUUGAUACCAAAACCUGUCUUUCUCCCAUAAUGUGAGCUGCCUCAAAUCAAGUAGAAUGUAAAUAUUUGUAAUAAGAAGAAGAAAUCUAAUUUUUCUUAUGUUUUUUUCUUGUUUAGUUUGCUGAAUGUUGUGAGGAUAUUUCUGGAAGGAAGGGAACUCCAGGUUCAGAGAGUUGUGUAAAGAAAGGGUAACUGGCUGCCUGCACAAACCCUCAGCUGGUGGCAUUUAUCUUGAUCAGCACUGUGGUCCUUGGUCAUCAGACCUGACUCAAGAAAACUGAUCCACUCUUAGCACACUCAAGAGACAUCUAUGUAAAGGCCAAAAUGCCAAGUUUAAAACUUAAGGUUGACUAUUAAUCAGAUGAGAUAUUCACUUCUGAUGUAGAUACAUUCUUUUCUCACCAAAAAAAUUGUAGGGAAAUCAAGCAGAAAGCUUUUUGUUAACAAAAGCUAGGAGAUGGAUGACUUAAAUGGCUAAUUAAAUAUAAAAAUAAAUUGUAUUCAUUUAUUAGAGAAUUAUUGAACAAGUUGAUGUGAAGUAUUAUAUUUAAACACCGUGCUAGAUCUUGAAGAUCAGCAUGUUAUCAAAAGAUGAAAACUCAAAGUCACUGACCUCUGACCCCUGACACUCUUGGUCAGCUGGGAGAGAGGGCCAAGAAACAGAUGGCUUUAUUAUUUAAGUAUUAAAGGUUGCAAAGGCAGGUAUUCAUGCAUUCGAUACGAAUGGAGAGACCUUUAGUCAAGAUGAGGGUCAGGUGAGGCAAGUUACAGCGGCAACCUAGAAUAAGCAACACCUGAGUGAAAUCAUAAAUAAUGAGCAGAAGUUCCCUGAAAGAGACAGAAAGUGGAUAGAGGAGGAAGUUUCAGAAUUAACUGCUCAGGCGAAGACCAGAAGCAAAAAGCAGCUUGGAAUUUGCAAACUAUGGGAACACUGAGGCACAGCAGAUGGUAAGGAGCACAUCUACACAACAACAGGCAGCAAGUUAGAAAAUUCACAGCUGGGAAUUAAGUCUUUUGGUUUUCUCUCCAGGACUCUUCAAGUGAGGAUGUGUUGGCAUCUUCUAUAGUAUAUACUCAGUCUUCCAUGUAUCCCAGCGAAUCUGCUCAGAUUAAAAUCAAAUCAAAACAACUCACUGAGUGGUAAACAGAUGGCUGAUAUUCGGCUUUCCUUGCUGGCUACAGUGGUGGCCCAUGAAGCAUUACCUGCUGGAUGGGCCUUCUUCCUGGCAUUGUUUUCCUUCACAUUUCAGCUUCUGAGCCUGUGAUUAUGGAUCAGAGCUUGAAAAAAGUCUGUGAUUUGCUCAGAAAAAGAUUGCAUGAAGUGCAUCAGUGCUUUCCUGGCUGAAAACAUCUGUUAAGAGACACAAAUUUAGCUUCUCAUUGUUGGCUUCCUGUGUACCAGACAGAGUUUAUUAUUUAACUGAUGACUGGGAGAAACGGGCUCCUGCAACAAUCUGGCCACAAACUGAAGAUGGAUUUUACAUUUGUUAUUUAAAUUGCCUUGAGAGGAAAGGAUUUGGGAAUGAAGUGUUGACCUUUAAUCCUUGUUGGCUAAGAAAUCAGCUCCAAGAGUAUUAUCAAAAGUGAAUAUAUCCAUACAGGUAUAUUUAUACGUGUGUAUAUAUUAUAUAUGCUUAAAUCGUAAGCUUUAGGAAGCCACUUUGCUUUCUUAAGGAAAGGAAAAGAUUUUAAAAUAUGAGGUAACUUGAAUUUAGCUAAGAUAAAAGAGAGAAUUGCUUUUUAGGAAUUUUAUGAGAGAUUGUACUGAAAUAAAAUUUAAAUUGCAGCUAAAUAAUACCCCAGCACACCAGAAUGGACACCAGUGGAUGUCAUUCCACAUAGUAUAUCAGCUACUAAGGGAGCAUUCCUAAAGACUUGUUUCCUCACUGAAAUGUUUGAAGAAGCAGAAUGGAGAAUAAGUUCUCAUCAUCCUCCAUACAACUGCAAUAUAUAUGAAUGUCCUUGAAUUUAUUACUUUAUUACAUUCCAUAGAAGUUGUACUUCCAACUUUGUGAUCCUAUGUCAACAGAUUGUUUACUGUUUUCUGCUCUUCCAGUCAGCUGAGUUGGUUUGGUGAGAUGGUUCUCAAAUAUGACUGCUCAUUAGAUCACCUGGGGAGGACUUUUAGUAUAUACUUGUUCCUGGGUCCCAAUCUAGACAAAAUGAGUCAGAAUUUCUCAGAUUAUAAGAAACCUGAAUGAGGACCUGUCAAUUAUAAACUUAGGUGACUUAUUCUGACUUCUUCAACUGAACCAUGAAAUGAAUAGACAAACGCUGUCUUAAGUCGCAUCAAGGGAUGCAAAGCCAUUGUUAUCAAUUCUUAAAAACUCAGAUUGAAGUCAGGACCUUGACAUCUCAGUAUCUCAUUUAAUCUUGACCACAACAUUUCGAGGACUGCAUCAUCUAUUUUAGAGAUGGUGGCAGAGGGUCAGCGACCUUAAGAACAUUUCCCUAGGACAUAACAUUUAACACAUAGUAGAACAAAAAUUUAAAUCCAAGUACAGUCAAAUUCUUAGCUUCUUCAUCAGUGGUUUUCAUUCCUUGAUUCAACCUCAGUUUUUAUAACAAAUAUUUUGACCUCUUUAUACUAUCUAUAUCUCAGAAAAGUAAAACCCCAUAAUUAGAAUGAAAUAAAAGAUAAAAGGAAAAUAAUUUAAACUAAAAACAGUAAACACUGCCUUAUUUAUUUGAUGUCUAAAAGCAUAUAUGAUCACAUUAGAAGAUGUAACAAAGUAGUCAGCUGCUUGUACCUACAAUUAACUUUAGAAUCACUGAAUGCCACAGCUUCACAUGAACUUUGACACAGAUGCAUUGUGUAGGCAACUUGUGUACUUGUGAGCAACUUGUAGUCAAGGACACAAGUUUUUCCAAGGAUAUAACUUCUGAUCUGCUUAAUGAACAAAACAGCCUAAAUUUCCUCUUGAUUAAUAAUGUAGUUGCAAUACUGGAAAAUUCAGUGUAUAAAUACCUCA